rnacentral:rRNA from 1 species
CCUACGGGAGGCAGCAGUAGGGAAUUUUCGGCAAUGGGGGGAACCCUGACCGAGCAACGCCGCGUGAACGAAGAAGUUAUUCUUAAUGUAAAGUUCUUUUAACAGGGAAGAAAGAGAAAUUUGACGGUACCUGAAGAAUAAGCCCCGGCUAACUACGUGCCAGCAGCCGCGGUAAUACGCAGGGAGCGAGCGUUAGCGGGAAUUAUUGGGCGAAAAGGGUGCGUAGAUGGCAUAGUAAGGCUUUUGUAAAAAUGCUGGGCUAAACCCAGCAGGGCAAAAGAUACUGUAAAGCUAGAGUUUGACAGAGGCAGGUGGAACUACAUGUGUAGCGGUGAAAUGCGUAGAUAUAUGUAAGAACACCAGUGGCGAAGGCGGCUUGCUGGGUCGCUACUGACAUUGAGGCACGAAAGCGUGGGGAGCAAACAGGAUUAGAUACCCCAGUAGUC